CCAUGCCAGCAGAGCAGCAUUAAUGAUCUGCCAGAGCAUCUGUGCCCUGUGGUACAGGAGUAGGAUGUAGGUAUUUCUGCUGUGCAGGAGCAGGUCUCUUGUUUUCCAUGAAUGAGAGAC